rnacentral:rRNA from 1 species
UACGUAGGGAGCAAGCGUUGUCCGGAAUCAUUGGGCGUAAAGCGCGCGUAGGCGGCCUCAUAAGUCCGUUGUGAAAGUCAAAGGCUCAACCUUUGAAAGCCGAUGGAUACUGUGAGGCUAGAGUCCGGAAGAGGCGAGUGGAAUUCCUGGUGUAGCGGUGAAAUGCGUAGAUAUCGAGAGGAACACCUGCGGCGAAGGCGGGUAGCUGGGCCGACACUGACGCUGAGGCGCGAAAGCCAGGGGAGCGAACGGG